rnacentral:tRNA from 1 species
GUCCCUGUAGCGCAAUGAAUUGCGCUUUGGACUUUUAAUCCAAAGGUCGAGGGUUAGAACCCACCUGGGAUG